rnacentral:rRNA from 1 species
GACGAACGCUGGCGGCGUGCUUAACACAUGCAAGUCGAACGGUGAACUCCGCUUGCGGGGGGAUCAGUGGCGAACGGGUGAGUAACACGUGGGCAACCUGCCCUCAGCUCUGGGAUAACUCCAAGAAAUUGGGGCUAAUACCGGAUAUGACCGCUGACCGCAUGGUCUGGUGGUGGAAAGAUUUAUCGGCUGGGGAUGGGCCCGCGGCCCAUCAGCUUGUUGGUGGGGUAGUGGCCUACCAAGGCGACGACGGGUAGCCGGCCUGAGAGGGUGACCGGCCACACUGGGACUGAGACACGGCCCAGACUCCUACGGGAGGCAGCAGUGGGGAAUAUUGCGCAAUGGGCGAAAGCCUGACGCAGCGACGCCGCGUGGGGGAUGACGGCCUUCGGGUUGUAAACCUCUUUCAGCAGGGACGAAGCGAAAGUGACGGUACCUGCAGAAGAAGCACCGGCCAACUACGUG